rnacentral:rRNA from 1 species
CCUACGGGUGGCUGCAGUGGGGAAUAUUGGACAAUGGGCGAAAGCCUGAUCCAGCCAUGCCGCGUGUGUGAAGAAGGCCUUCGGGUUGUAAAGCACUUUCAGUGGGGAAGAAAGCCUUGGGGCUAAUACCCUCGAGGAAGGACAUCACCCACAGAAGAAGCACCGGCUAACUCCGUGCCAGCAGCCGCGGUAAUACGGAGGGUGCGAGCGUUAAUCGGAAUUACUGGGCGUAAAGCGCGCGUAGGCGGUCUGAUAAGCCGGUUGUGAAAGCCCCGGGCUCAACCUGGGAACGGCAUCCGGAACUGUCAGGCUAGAGUGCAGGAGAGGAAGGUAGAAUUCCCGGUGUAGCGGUGAAAUGCGUAGAGAUCGGGAGGAAUACCAGUGGCCAAGGCGGCCUUCUGGACUGACACUGACGCUGAGGUGCGAAAGCGUGGGUAGCAAACAGGAUUAGAUACCCCAGUAGUC